AGUCGCCGCCUCUGCAGAUAAGCUCUCUUUCUCCGUCUCUCUUCCCGUCAGGCUUAGCUGGUCUUUGAAACCAAGGGAAGAGAAGAGAAGAGAAGAGAAGGAAGAGCAAGCAGGGCAACGAACGCAAGAAGGAGAGGAUGCUGCAGUCCGGCCGUAGAACUAUGGUCAAGGUUGGGCUUAUUGUCUUGGCCUGCUUUGUAGUAGCAACCUAUGGCCAGCUGCCGGCAGUGGCACCCGCCCCCCCGUCGCAACCACAGUCCCCAGCCCCUGCCAACAUCCUCGAAAUCGAUGAUCCACCUUCCGGCACGGGUACCCCUCUUGCCUCCGCACCUACAGCACCCGCUCCAUUGGCUCCCGGCGCCACGCCUGCCCCCCCACUCCCCUCAGGCUUCCUUCUCCACCUGUGCUCUCCCCGCCGGCCCCCGACGUCGCAGUCGACGCCCCACCGACCUCCGCUCCCCCUGCCGAGGCGCCACCGUCAAGUCCAGCCGAUGCACCGCCAGCAUCGACCCCGGCCGACGCGCCACCAACAACGACUCCGGCCGACGCGCCACCAGAACCAACUCCGACCGAUGGGCCACCUUCAGCGACUCCGGCCGACGCGCCACCGGAACCUACUCCGACCGAUGCGCCACCUUCAGCGACUCCGGCCGACGCCCCACCGGAAGCAACUCCGACAGACGCGCCACCGACUUUAGCACCGGUGCUACAGAAGAACGCGACGAAUCCGUCACCUCCUCACGCAUUGCUUGGCCCUUCUCUGGCCGCCACUGCUCCGACUUCUAUUCCUAAUAAAGCUGGUGGAGCAAUGGUAAGAAUGACUGUGAAGAGGAUAAUGGCGGCGGGCUUCGCUCUUGUUUUGGUUCUCCCACUUGCUCGUUGAGAGCCGUAGCAAUGCCGUUAUGUUCAUCAUCAUCAUAUCUCCUUUUGUUUUGGUUUCUCUCUCUCUCGCUUCUUCUUCUUCUCUCCUUUGAGUGCUAGAAGUUCCAAAUUCCCUCGGCCUUCUAGGUGGUGAUAUGUAUUUUUCAGAUUCUCUUGAGUGAAUCUGAGCUUGAAUAUUGAUUCGGAUUUGCAACUUCACCUUGUUGAUCCUUUUUAAUAUUAUAUCAUUCUGUUUCUGUUUA